UUGCUUUGGCAGCACAUACACUAAAAUUGGAAUGAUGCAGAGAAGAUUAGCAUGGCCCCUGCAUAAGGAUGACAUGCAAAUUCAUUCCAUUUUUUU
rnacentral:snRNA from 1 species